UGUCAAUAAUGUCUGAGGUGUACCUGAUCCAAUGCUUAGUGCAUCUGCAUCACCAUUUCUUAUGAUCAUAAUAUCUCUUCCAUGACAACAUAUCGUAGAGCUAUGAGGAGAUAGUUUCCAUCAACCCUGUUUUGUUGCGGUCAAACCUGAUUCUUGCACGAUCCAAUAUUUUGUAAUGCACUAGCACUUCUUCAGAUGACAUGUAGGUAAUGCAAGUUGAGUUUUGAGGCUCUGUUGAGAAGAUGAGAGCUUUGGUUGUCCACUUAAUUGAAGCCAAACAAACAACACAAAUGAAAUGGAGAAGGAGUAGGAAAUAGUAGUUGAAGCAGAAUUCAUCAAAGCUUUCAUUAAUAUAGUACCCUAUUUUUAAAAAGUUAAUUUUAUUGUCACUUACGGCACUUCUGUUCCUUAAGUAGGAGUAGUAUAAUAUUAACAGUACUUAAUAUUCAACACUUUUUCUCUUUAGUAUAGAGUGUAUGGUUAUCAAUUU